ACCAAGCCCAUAAUUCCUACGCCCAUACUCCUAACUUAAUCCCUACCCCUAUAUAAUAGUACAUAAUCCUUACAUAGACCUACACCUAAAAAAUCCUGUUGAAUCCGUUGUUUUCCAGAAGAUUGGAUUAAAAACGAAAAUCUAAAAGAGGGCGCUAACAAAAAGAAAGGAAAGGGCGACCAAAAGCUGACAGCCGCAAUUGAGGAUUGGGAGUCUGACUCCCAUCUUCUUCUUCCUUAAGAACAGAACGCUUCAGCAAACAUUCCUUCUUCUCUGUUCCUCCAAAAAUCCAACGAAAAACCUCCAUUUUCACCAUGUAAAAGCUCCAAAAGAACUCAGCCUUCCUCCACUAUUGAAGCAACCUUCAAACUCCACCAAAAACUAAUCAAAACUAACUCCAAAACACCUGAAAUAGCAGCUGAAUAUCUGCUCAAAUCCAUCCUCAAAGCAGUCCUUAACUUCACCCAAAACCACUAAAAAAGCAGAAAAAAUGCAGUCCUUUUCGCACACAAGCAGUAGCAUCGAGAGUUGAGUCGAGGUCGCCGAACAGCUUCUGCAUGAGGUCCAAACAAGGUUUUUCCUUUUGCAAUUCUGGUCUUAAAUCAAUUUUAGGCCUAAGCUCUGUCGUCGGAUCUCUAGUGUGAGUCAAAAUCGAUCGCUGUAUGAGUUUUGCCGGAGGCUUGGUUCAAUGAAAAAUCGUUGUUUCAGUUGAGUUUUCUCAUACAGGUGUGGAUCUACUUACCGAAGUUUGAGCAUGACAAACACCCCGAGACCAUCCAGUCAGGAUCAUUCAGGAGUUGCUUAAGGGGAUUUUUCUUUUUGUGCUUUGAGUCUAUUUUUCUUUUUAUGUUUUCUUUUACCUUCUAAUUUUGUACAGUAAUGUCGAGUCUUUUGUUAUUGUAUUUACUAUUUUCGUAUUGAAAAAGUGUGUUAUAAAUCAAAGAACCAAGAAGAAAUUUUGUGUUUUCA